rnacentral:rRNA from 1 species
GACGAACGCUGGCGGCGUGCUUAACACAUGCGAGUCGAACGGAAAGGCCCUGCUUUUGUGGGGUGCUCGAGUGGCGAACGGGUGAGUAACACGUGAGUAACCUGCCCUUGACUUUGGGAUAACUUCAGGAAACUGGGGCUAAUACCGGAUAGGAGCUCCUGCUGCAUGGUGGGGGUUGGAAAGUUUCGGCGGUUGGGGAUGGACUCGCGGCUUAUCAGCUUGUUGGUGGGGUAGUGGCUUACCAAGGCUUUGACGGGUAGCCGGCCUGAGAGGGUGACCGGCCACAUUGGGACUGAGAUACGGCCCAGACUCCUACGGGAGGCAGCAGUGGGGAAUAUUGCACAAUGGGCGGAAGCCUGAUGCAGCAACGCCGCGUGCGGGAUGACGGCCUUCGGGUUGUAAACCGCUUUCGCCUGUGACGAAGCGUGAGUGACGGGAAUGGGUAAAGAAGCACCGGCUAACUACGU